rnacentral:rRNA from 1 species
UACAGAGGUCCCCAAGCGUUUGUUCGGAUUCACUGGGCGUAAAGGGUGCGUAGGCGGUCGGGUAAGUCUGAUGUGAAAUCUCACAGCUUAACUGUGAAACUGCAUUGGAUACUAUUCGGCUAGAGAGUUGGAGGGGGGACUGGAAUUCUUGGUGUAGCAGUGAAAUGCGUAGAUAUCAAGAGGAACACCAGUGGCGAAGGCGAGUCCCUGGACAACUUCUGACGCUGAGGCACGAAAGCUAGGGGAGCAAACAGG